AAGAAAUUAACUUCCAAUCUUAAUAAGGCUGGGUUUAUAUAUAUUUUUUGCUUUUAAAAAAAGGGCAUUAGAUAGUUCUUUGACUGUUGAAGCCAAGUGACACAGCCGUCUUUUGGCCAUUUUAUUAUAUAAAUAUAUAAUAUAUGUAACUAAGUAGGCCAAAACAUGAUCCUUAAUUCAUGUGUUGAGGAGAGGAUUAAUCAAUGGUAGGAUAUGAAGCUCGCAUUGCAAUGCCACAUGGACCUUCUCUGGCAUAGACAUCUCUCUCAAGCUUCAUGUAGCCAUUUUCUCCCCAGUUGACACCCCAUGAGUUCUUGAUGAGCCAGUACUUGGAACCAUACUCCGCGCUUGUCCCAUACCCAACCAGAGUAACAGCAUGGUUUAGUCGAGUCCCACAAUCCCCAUUGAACACCCCCCCACUGUAAAGCUUGAAGGUACUUGCAUCGAUGGCCACUGAGACAGGUUGGUUCGCUACUGCCAUUUUUAGGUAGCUCUCGUCGUUGCUGGGUACGUUUCGAUAACCAGUUAUCUUUGCAGCAGAGUUGCUCGCUGUCCCACUAUUGCACAUUCCUUGCACUUGAUUGUAGGGGUAAUCAUCUUCUGAGACGAUGCCUUGGUUUUGUAUUAUGUAUUCGAAAGCGUUAGUCAUCCAACCGCCACCACAGCCAUUAUUAUUACUCACACAAUCCACUAAUUGUUGCGCAGAAAGGGACACGCCGUUGCGAAUUAUUCCUUCCACGGCUCCUACGGAUGAAAAUGCCCAACAACAACCACAUUGUUGUUGGUUCUUGACGGAUGUGACAACUCCUUCGACUUCCCUCCAGUCUUUGUUUUCUGGCACUUCAUCAGCCUGGUCUGCAUAUUUGAAUGGUGUUGUUUUAUUUGUUUUUGGGAGUGAGGGCAUCCUGUAUCCAGUGUAGGUAGCUAAGAAUUCUUCAUCAGUUAACUCUGCAAAUAUAUUGAGACUCAACUGAUACGUCUUAUUGAUUGCGUUACUGUUGAAAUUUUCGAUGAAUUCCAAGUUGGUCUUGAAUAUCUGAAAUCGCCUCUCUUUCUCUGCAUUGUCCUGAUAAUUUCGUCCAUGGUGCGCCAUCCAUUGUUCGUGCUUCUGAGUAAUGGCAUCUUCAUCUAUGAAUGGUCGUCCAGACAUGGAUUGAGUUGCCCAUGUCCCUAACAUCAUCAACACAUUGAUCAAAACUUUUGCUUGGAGGGAAAGAGCCAUGGUUUAAUUAAUUAAUUU
rnacentral:misc_RNA from 1 species